GGCUGAAUGGUCUAGUGGUAUGAUUGUCGCUUCGGGUUUCUUCCCGCCUCCCUCCCAGGAAGGUAUCAUUGUGACAGGCCCCGGGUUCAAGUCCCGGUUCAGCUCCA